rnacentral:lncRNA from 1 species
GCCUAGGUCGCAUUUGGAGCAUUUCAUCGAACAGAUUGAGUGCAUGUUCGAGCUUAUUAACAUUGUCAAAACAAAAUCUAGGUCGGUUUGAACUAGGAAUAAUAGAAUGAGAGUGAAAACGAGAGUGGGAAAAGAAAAUACCUUCAUAAUCAUUACCAAGAAUGGGUCUUCUUCUCAAGAUGAAAGAGACAGCUGUAGAAACACAAUUUCUCUUCAUUAACAUCUUCAACCGUUUAUGGAGACAAAAAAAAAGGUUUCAAUUGGAGUAAUAAUGUGUAUAGGAAGAUUGAAUGAACCCUAAUACUGUUUUGAAAGGAAAUAAUUUGGUAGUAAUUUAAUUGGUUUCUAUCCAAAAAUCAUGUUUUUUGAGUUUCUCAUAGCCAGGCCGCUGGGUAGCAAGUCAGAGAAAUGGGUGGAAAAU